rnacentral:tRNA from 1 species
GCCUGGGUGGCUCAGUCGGUUGAGCACCGGACUUCGGCUCAAGUCAUGAUCUCACGGUUUGUGGGUUCGAGCCCCGCGUCAGGCU